AUUGGGCGUAAAGAGCUUGUAGGUGGCUUGUCGCGUCUGCCGUGAAAACCCGAGGCUCAACCUCGGGCGUGCGGUGGGUACGGGCAGGCUAGAGUGUGGUAGGGGAGACUGGAACUCCUGGUGUAGCGGUGAAAUGCGCAGAUAUCAGGAAGAACACCGAUGGCGAAGGCAGGUCUCUGGGCCAUUACUGACACUGAGAAGCGAAAGCAUGGGUAGCGAACAGGAUUAGAUACCCUGGUAGUCCAUGCCGUAAACGUUGGGCACUAGAUGUGGGGGACAUUCCACGUUUUCCGCGUCGUAGCUAACGCAUUAAGUGCCCCGCCUGGGGAGUACGGCCGCAAGGCUAAAACUCAAAGGAAUUGACGGGGGGCCCGCACAAGCGGCGGAGCAUGCUGAUGAAUUCGAUGCAACGCGAAGAACCUUACCAAGGCUUGACAUGCACCGGACGACUCCAGAGAUGGGGUUUUCUUCGGACUGGUGCACAGGUGGUGCAUGGUUGUCGUCAGCUCGUGUCGUGAGAUGUUGGGUUAAGUCCCGCAACGAGCGCAACCCUUGUUCUAUGUUGCCAGCACGUGAUGGUGGGGACUCAUAGGAGACUGCCGGGGUCAACUCGGAGGAAGGUGGGGACGACGUCAAAUCAUCAUGCCCCUUAUGUCUUGGGCUUCAAGCAUGCUACAAUGGUCGGUACAAUGGGUUGCGAAACUGUGAGGUGGAGCGAAUCCCAAAAAGCCGGCCUCAGUUCGGAUUGGGGUCUGCAACUCGACCCCAUGAAGUCGGAGUCGCUAGUAAUCGCAGA
rnacentral:rRNA from 1 species